GUUGCCAGGUGGGCUGGCUUAAUCCCUGCUUCCAAGGGAGGCUGAGGGUGGGGGAUCUCUUGAGCAUGGGAGUUUUGAGCUGCAGAGGGAUAAACAGAUAGAAUGUCAGCACUAAAUUGUCAUUUAUGUGCUGUGAAUCUCUGGAACUGGGACCCACCAGAUUUCCUAAGGAGAGGGAAACCAGCCCAGGUUGGACAUAGAGCAGGCUAAAAGCUCCUGUGUGGAUCAGAGUGGGCCCCUGAAUAUCUUCUGCAUUUCCAGCUCAAGCAAGAUAGGGAGUCCCAGACUAA
rnacentral:SRP_RNA from 1 species